UUUAGCUGGGGAAAAAAAAUUUUGUUAACUAAUUUUCCUAAGUGCUCCAGAUGUUUGAAAAUGUGGAGAAUAUUUUCUGGAAAAAAAUUAUCCAUAAAACAAACAGAGCCUUAAAUACGCAAUUUGAUCAUUUUUCACACACAUGCAUAUGCACACAUACAUAGGGAGAGUAUCAUUAAUUAGCCAAAGUUCAUUUUUGCGGAUUUUGUCGAUUAAUAUGGUUUGAUCAUGUCUAAUGGAGAGCAUCAAAUGCCCUAUAAUGGAAGUGUGAUAAGUUAGCAAGGAAAGACGUGAGAAGUGGAAGGUAAAAAUCUAAGAUGAUGUGGAGGGAAGUUAUAUCAAAGGAUUUGCUAGUUUUGGAUAUUGAGUCGUACUCGGUGUCUAACGGAUCUAAAUGGUGAAAAGUGAUUCAUAUAGACAACUAGUUUG
rnacentral:misc_RNA from 1 species